AUUGAACGCUGGCGGCAGGCCUAACACAUGCAAGUCGAACGAGUGGCGGACGGGAGAGUAAUGUCUGGGAAACUGACUGAUGGAGGGGGAUAACUACGGGAAACGGUAGCUAAUACCGCAUAAAAUCAGAUGUGCCCAGAUGGGAUUAGCGUGUGGGUGGGGUAAAGGCUCACAAAGGCGACGAUCCCUAGCUGGUCUGAGCGGAUGAACAGCCACACCGGAACUUAGCCUCGGUCCAUACUCCUACGGUAGGCAGCAGUGGGGAAUAUUGCCCAAUGGGCGCAAGCCUGAUGCAGCCAUGCCGCGUGUAUGAAGAAGGCCUUCGGGUUGUAAAGUACUUUCAGCGGGGAGGCGUUACCCGCAGAAGAAGCACCGGCUAACUCCGUGCCAGCAGCCGCGGUAAUAC
rnacentral:rRNA from 1 species